rnacentral:rRNA from 1 species
CCUACGGGUGGCUGCAGUGGGGAAUAUUGGACAAUGGGCGAAAGCCUGAUCCAGCCAUGCCGCGUGUGUGAAGAAGGCCUUCGGGUUGUAAAGCACUUUCAGUGGGGAAGAAAGCCUUGGGGCUAAUACCCUCGAGGAAGGACAUCACCCACAGAAGAAGCACCGGCUAACUCCGUGCCAGCAGCCGCGGUAAUACGGAGGGUGCGAGCGUUAAUCGGAAUUACUGGGCGUAAAGCGCGCGUAGGCGGUCUGAUAAGCCGGUUGUGAAAGCCCCGGGCUCAACCUGGGAACGGCAUCCGGAACUGUCAGGCUAGAGUGCAGGAGAGGAAGGUAGAAUUCCCGGUGUAGCGGUGAAAUGCGUAGAGAUCGGGAGGAAUACCAGUGGCGAAGGCGGCCUUCUGGACUGACACUGACGCUGAGGUGCCAAAGCGUGGGUAGCAAACAGGAUUAGAUACCCCAGUAGUC